rnacentral:rRNA from 1 species
UAUCUCUGUAGAGUCUGCAUAUCAAUAAGCGGAGGAAAAGAAACUAACUAGGAUUCCCUCAGUAACGGCGAGUGAAGCGGGAAGAGCUCAAAUUUGAAAUCUUCAAGGUUCUACCUUGACGAAUUGUAGUUUAAAGAAGUGUUUUCUGUUGGAGUUUUGGUAAAAGUUCUUUGGAAUAGGACAUCAUAGAGGGUGAGAAUCCCGUAUUUGACCAUUAUUUCCAGCUUUGUGAUACACUUUCAAAGAGUCGGAUUGUUUGGGAAUGCAGUCCAAAAUGGGUGGUAAAUUUCAUCUAAAGCUAAAUACUGGCGAGAGACCGAUAGCGAACAAGUACCGUGAGGGAAAGAUGAAAAGAACUUUGAAAAGAGAGUUAAACAGUACGUGAAAUUGUCAAAAGGGAAGCGUUUGACACCAGUGUUGUUUUCUCGAAAAUCAAUUAAAAAGGGCAGGAUUUUGUGUUGUAUUGACUUUAUCAGCUUUCUGCACUCUUCUCUUGUCUUUUUUAAUGCGCUUUUCGUUUAACAAGUCAACAUCAAUUUCUUUUGUUGUAAAAGGGUCAUUGGAAGGUGGCUUUCUUUUCGGAGAAAGUGUUUAUAGCCUUUGGCCUCUGCAAUCGGAGAGAUUGAGGUCUGCAGCGUAGAUCCUUCGGGGUUAGAUACAUUUGUGCUAAGUUAUAGGCCUUUCAUAGACAACUUGUUGACUAUGAUCAGUCAUGUAGCUUACUCGCUUAUGCCUAUUUUACCUACGCUUAGGAUGUUGACGAUCAGCUGAGCGCG